UACAGAGGUCUCAAGCGUUGUUCGGAUUCAUUGGGCGUAAAGAGCUCGUAGGCGGCUUGUUGCGUCGACCGUGAAAACCCGUGGCUCAACUGCGGGCUUGCGGUCGAUACGGGCGGGCUAGAGUUCGGUAGGGGAGACUGGAAUUCCUGGUGUAGCGGUGAAAUGCGCAGAUAUCAGGAGGAACACCGGUGGCGAAGGCGGGUCUCUGGGCCGAUACUGACGCUGAGGAGCGAAAGCGUGGGGAGCGAUCCGG
rnacentral:rRNA from 1 species